rnacentral:rRNA from 1 species
GAUGAACGCUGGCGGCGUGCCUAAUACAUGCAAGUCGAACGAAACGUCUUUAUCACCGAGUGCUUGCACUCACCGAUAAAGGGGUGAGUGGCGAACGGGUGAGUAACACGUGGGCAACCUGCCCAAAAGAGGGGGAGAACACUUGGAAACAGGUGCUAAUAACGCAUAACCAUAGUUACCGCAUGGUAACUAUGUAAAAGGUGGCUAUACUACCGCCGUUGGAUGGGCCCGCGGCGCAUUAGCUAGUUGGUAGGGUAAAGGCUUACCAAGGCAAUGAUGCGUAGCCGACUUGAGAGGUUGAUCGGCCACAUUGGGACUGAGACACGGCCCAGACUCCUACGGGAGGCAGCAGUAGGGAAUCUUCCACAAUGGGCGAAAGCCUGAUGGAGCAACGCCGCGUGGGUGAAGAAGGUCUUCGGAUCGUAAAACCCUGUUGUUAGGGAAGAACGUGCGUGAGAGUAACUGUUCACGUUUCGACGGUAUCUAACCAGAAAGCCACGGCUAACUACGUG